rnacentral:lncRNA from 1 species
UUGGACAGCUACAUGGAAAAAGUUAUCUGGAGCCCUGCUGCCGCAGGAGGAAUGCAGAAAGGCCAUGUGCUCCUCGACCGCCCGCCCGCCCGCCUGCCCGCCCGAAGCACUGGCCUUCCCUCAUCAAAGUCUGAGGUUGACUGUGAGGUUUAUGAACAUUCCCUCUAGAAGCUUGAGGAUUCUUUCUGUGGACUGCAGACUCCCAGAAGAGGCAUUUCAAGGGACAGGAGGGUUCCAAACUCCAAGCCUUCCUCAGAACAGUGUCAUCUCAGAGAUGCAUUUAUGAAAUAAGGUCUGAGGAAGGGGUGGGCAUGUGACGGGAAGAUAACCUCUUAUUCACAACCGAAGCUGCUUGUAGCUAAAAUGACCACGUUUCUUAUUAAGUUUCAAAGAUGCUAAAGAAGAAAAGGAGGAGGAAGAGGAGGAGAAGGUUUUGUGUUAGCAGGAAUCUCCAUCCCUGAGACUGGAUGAACUCCUUGGGGCUAUGUGCUUAGCUGAGGGUUCACCUCUGUGAGCUCUGACCUCUACCAAGCGGCAGAACUCAAAAACCGAACGGAGACGCCCUGAGUUAUCUGCACUGUUUCAGGAGGGAUGACUGUGGACCAAUACAUAAAUGGCAGUUGGCUUUAGAGUAUACAUUCGGCCCAGUGAUUUAUCCAAGACAACAGGCGAACAGCUUGCUAUGUACACAGCAGUUUACCUGUCCAGACUUGCUUCAGGACCCUGCUCUGUGCAGUCUACCAGCCCUAAGGUGUUAGGUUACAAAGUUGCCCAAUUUCGUCAGUUCCACCUUGAGAGACCUGCCUGGCAUCCCAUGCCCAUGCUGAAGCCAUGUAAAUAACCCUUUCCCUUCGCCCCUUCUCAGACCGCUGUCUCUCCCCGCGAUUUGGCUUUGCAGCACCAAGUGUCUGGUGAUGUUUAAGGGAGCUGCACACUGGGCAUUUUCAGUCUUACUUUCCUGCUGUGGAAUCAGGCCCCAAGAGACCAUCUCAUACUCAAUAGACUGGCAGGACCAUACUGGAAUCUACAUGUCUGUUCUCCAGGGCUGCCUUACCGCACAAGCUGAAACUUCCUUGUCUGCAACCAGAGAGGACUGCAUCGGCUCCUUGAGUCUUAAAACGCUGCCUUGCUCAAACUCUGCUAAACAAAACAAAACAAAACAAAAAAAACAACAACAAAACAAAUGGAGAGCUGGGUGUGGUAGCAUGUUCCUGUAAUUUCAGAUCUUGGAAGGAUUAGGAGUUCAAGGCCGAGCCUCCGUUCCAUAGCCAGUUAGAAAGGUGGAGGCCAGAACAGGCUGCACGAGACCCUGUCUCAUAAGAGAGACAAAAUAAGACAAAACAAAUAAAUAACAAUUAAAAAACAAGCUUAACCGUGGCUCAACCCAUC